rnacentral:lncRNA from 1 species
CAAAUAGAUUAUGCAAGUUGACAUUUUAUUUUUAUGAUUAUAUUGAUGAAUGUUGAAGAGUUAUAGUUUCUGUGAAAGCCAAGUUUAAUACUUCAGAAAGAACAGAUAAAAUAUUGCCCAAGUGUUAAAAAUGCUAUUGGUUAAGUGUAGGCAAAACAGUACUAACAAACUGGAGAGAACUACAAUAAAAAUGUACAAAAAUUCUGCCCCUCUGGUUCACAGCCAUGCAAUGAAAUCCAUGUGAUUUGUGUAGGAAAGACAAUUAUAGAACACUUACAGUGGACCUCCACUGGAAGGCAGUUCUGCUAAUCACUCCACCACCAGUGUUCCAGCUCAGCGGCACAUACUGAAGUUAGAAAAGGCCCGGGUCCUAUGAAAAAUCACUGGCAAAUAAAGAAUAUUUAUAUUAUAAGUUAAAAUGUCUAAAAUAUGUGUAUAUGAUAAUCUGUUUCAAAUAACUUUUUAGAUUAAGCAUACUAAGUGUCUGACAAAGCAACUCUAGUAUUACUAGAAAGUAAACUAGUAAUGCCUAACACAAAUAAUUUUAAAUACAUAUGGUUUUACCUUGCUUUCUUUCCAACAGCCACAACUGUACAGAUGCAGAUGAUUCCAAGUAAUAAUUUUCAAUUGAUCAAAUGUGUUCUUAUAAAACCAUCCCUGUUUAUUCUCAAAUUUUCUCUGAUGAAAUCCUGGGUAAAUAUUGCUGGAAGACAUGCAUGCCCAUUAUAUAUGUUCCCUAACCUUCCAAAAUGCAAUUUUUCCUUCACCCAAUUAGGAAUGAUAACAAUAUAUUCUGUCAAACUUUGAAAGCAUUCCCUCUUCUCGAUUAUACCUGUUUUCAUUUUUUAAAACAUUCUAGACAUAUACACUUUAGCAGUAGGCUCUGGGCCUAGCUCAGAAAAGAC